AAUCAACGCUGGCGGCGUGCCUAACACAUGCAAGUCGAACGCGAAAGCCCUUUCGGGGGUAAGUAGAGUGGCGUCCGGGUGAGUAACACGUAGGUAAUCUACCUUCGGUGGGAAUAACUCGCCGAAAGGCGAGCUAAUACCGCAUAAUGCAGCGGCACCUAAUGGUGAUUAGUUGUUAAAGCGGGGAUCGUAAGACCUCGCGCCUGAAGAGGAGCCUGCGGCAGAUUAGCUAGNGGUGAGGUAAUGGCUCACCAAGGCUUCGAUCUGUAGCUGGUCUGAGAGGACGGCCAGCCACACUGGCACUGACACACGGGCCAGACUCCUACGGAGGCAGCAGUGGGAAUUUUGGGCAAUGGGCGCAAAGCCUGACCCAGCAACGCCGCGUGAGGG
rnacentral:rRNA from 1 species